CUCUCCCCCCAGGUCCCUGCAGCCGUGGAGGUUGACCUCGCUGUUGCCAUGGAGAUUGUUGCCAUACACACAGACGGAAAGCCGGUGGAAGGACUGGGCUUCUAGUUGAGAAGAUACAGAUGAGGAGUUUUGAACUGGGGGUGAUUUUAACCUCCACUUCUAAUCAUGAAGACUUUGGCAGUGUCUGAAGACGUUUUUGAUCACCGUGAGACUGGGUCAUCUCUGAACUCUUUUAAUCUUUGGAAGAAGCAAUUUGUCAAUCAGCAUUAGCACUACAAAAAACAAAUGUCUCUGUUGUUGCCAUAGAGAAGUGAAUGUCUGUGUGGGAGCGUAAAGGACGUAAAUGACAGCACAACAUUGCUUUGUUUUGGCAACUCACACUGCCAGUGAUUAAAGUCCGUUUUAGAAAAACUGCCAAUCCCAGGUAUAGGUGAGUGGAAGGAAUCAUGGCCUUUGGAAUUUGACUAGCACAAAACCAGUACCUGGUACAACACCAUUAACUAAAUGCAAGCUUGGUCUGAAUCCUGCUCUUAGUGUUAUGGGACCUCUAAGUGCUGUACUUUUUUGAGCUGCAGGCGGCUGCUAUAAAAUGGAAACAGCAUGUCUAUUUUGCCGACCAAGAGAACACACUGUUCUUGCAUGGAAAUAGGGCAAAGAUGACAAUUCCAACGGCAGUGAUUUACUCUGUGACGGCACAGCAGAGAGCUUGCCAACGGGUAGUUUUUCAGAGGAGGUUUCAAAACCUCAGAUGAUAAAAAAAGCACUGAGCUGUCUUUGAACACUAAAAUAAUUAACCCCACAAUUGUAUUCAAUGUCUCAUCCUGAACUUGAAAAUAAAUGACAUCUGACUCAUCCUAAGGAAAAUAUGCAGUCUUUAAAAACCAGAAAAUAAAAAGAAA